rnacentral:rRNA from 1 species
CCUACGGGUGGCAGCAGUGAGGAAUAUUGGUCAAUGGACGCAAGUCUGAACCAGCCAUGCCGCGUGCAGGAAGACGGCUCUAUGAGUUGUAAACCUCUUUUGCCGGGGAGCAAAGUGCCGCACGUGUGCGGUUUGGAGAGUACCCGGAGAAAAAGCAUCGGCUAACUCCGUGCCAGCAGCCUCGGUAAUACGGAGGAUGCGAGCGUUAUCCGGCUUUAUUGGGUUUAAAGGGUGCGUAGGCGGACGCUUAAGUCAGCGGUAAAAUUGCGGGGCUCAACCUCGUCGAGCCGUUGAAACUGGGUGCCUUGAGUGGGCGAGAAGUACGCGGAAUGCGUGGUGUAGCGGUGAAAUGCAUAGAUAUCACGCAGAACUCCGAUUGCGAAGGCAGCGUACCGGCGCCCAACUGACGCUGAAGCACGAAGGCGUGGGUAUCGAACAGGAUUAGAUACCCUAGUAGUC